UCGGUUCUCUUUUAUCCUGCCUGGGGCCUUGGUCUGUGAGCUUUCCACUUUCCUGCUCCAGUUUGGACUGACUGCUCUCUAGGCUCAGUGCUUGUCAUGGUUUCCUUCUUGGUUGUCAUUCUGGGACUUGUCCUUUAGAGGGUCCCCUGUUUCUGGGAUCCCUUGUCCUCUUGGUUUACUUCCUUGUUUUGCUGAAACAUCUCCUUUGGUAGCUUUCUGAGAAAGAGUGGAUGGGAGAUAAACUUUUCUGAGUCCUUACAUGAGUAAAAAUGCCUUUAUUCUACCUUUAUCUCUGAUAUUAGCCUGGCCAUGUGUGAGAUACUUCGUUGGAAAUAAUUUCUCCUCAGGUUUAGAAGGUGUUUCUCCCUUGUCUUCUAGUUUCCAGUUUGCUUAAGAUGUUCAAAGCCAUUCUGAUUUCCUGUUCCUUAGAUGAGGUUGGUUUUAUUCCACCAGAACCAUCCAAAGAUCAUCUGUUUAUCUCCACUUUUUGGUAAUUUCAUGGUGAUGGGCCAUAGUAUGGGGUUUUCUUUCUUUUGUAAACAAAAUUGACAGUGCUAUGCUUGCCUUUCACUUCUGAGAAACUGCUUAGAUUCUCUGCAAACUGUUUCUCCUCUAUUUUUCUUCUGUUAGCUGUCUCUAAAAGUGUCAUUAGGUAGCUGGACAUUGAACAUUCUAAUUUUCUUAUAUUUUCUUUUUCUAUUUUCAUUUAUUUUUGUUCUAGUUUCUGGGAGAUUUCUACAACUUUAUGGCUCCCCUUCCUGUCCCCCAGCCCACAUCCAAUCGGCCCCCACAUCCUGAAACUUCCCCUUUUAAAAACAGUUCUCACGUCUGUCCCUUUUGUCUGCACUGCCACAUCUCCCCCAAGCUGCCCCUUCUGGGCCCCCUGCCUGCCCCCCUCUCUUUUCUCUUUCAG
rnacentral:lncRNA from 1 species